AGCAGUAGCCGCGGGAAUACAGAGGGUGCGAGCGUUAAUCGGAUUUACUGGGCGUAAAGCGUGCGUAGGCGGCUUCUUAAGUCGGAUGUGAAAUCCCUGAGCUUAACUUAGGAAUUGCAUUCGAUACUGGGAAGCUAGAGUAUGGGAGAGGAUGGUAGAAUUCCAGGUGUAGCGGUGAAAUGCGUAGAGAUCUGGAGGAAUACCGAUGGCGAAGGCAGCCAUCUGGCCUAAUACUGACGCUGAGGUACGAAAGCAUGGGAGCAAACAGGAUUAGAUACCCCGGUAGUCCCUGUCUCUUAUACA
rnacentral:rRNA from 1 species